UCUUCCACCAGGUAUUGUCGGAAAAGCAUUUCUGCUUGUUCACGUUGCUUUGCUAUUAGCAGCUGGAAUGAGAAAUACUGAUUAUUCAAGAUACAGCAAUGUAAAACUGCCAGGGACUUCUGUGGAAGCAGAGUUAAGCCUGGUCUUUGGGAGAUAGCUACAAUCAAGACCGGCUUUAUGAAUGGCCGGAGGUCAACUCCCAGUCUUCUGCAGAACCCCCCACGGACUUCCCUGGUGCUUCAGCAGUCGGCAAUGAAGAAUGGAAGAUAAACAACUUUCCAGCACAUUCUGCUGCCUGUCACAAAGACACCGUAAUAACCUUUUAUUCUGCUGCUGGUAUAAACAAAUGAACCUAAUUUUCAAGCAUUUGUGUAAACAAAAGUGUAAACUUUUCCUAAAUCCUCGUAAGCUAAAUUGUCCAUUUGUUUCAAGACUGAACUCAUCAUGGCAUCGAAAUCCCAAAAGAAAGUCACUGGGAAUUUAAUAUCCAUAAAUAGCUUAAUCUAACAUAGAUAUGUCUGGUCAUAUGUGGUGUUACAGUAAUUUCUACAUAGGAAUCUAGUCUUGAUGGACAAAAUUAACAAUAGAUAUACCAGACUGCUGUCAAUUUAAAUUUUUUUAAUGCCCAUGCAAUAUAAAUGUUAAAUAACGAUGCAAUAAAAGAUAGACAG